UAAAACCAGCCUGACAUUCAAUGGAUAUGGACUUUUAUAGCAAAGAACCAUCAUUGUCAGCUGAAGGCAUUUGAGAGGUUUGAAAUGUGGAGCUGUCUUAAUAUUAUUUGGGCAAAUUUCACUUUGAAUAUUUCAAAAACCCUUUCAGAUUUUCUUUUGUCAGAUUAGGAUUGGAUAUCUCCGAGUUAAAUCUGGCACUUUAUAAGAAUUACCUGUAUUUAGAUGGGUAGAAUUUAAGGUGUGAGCCUAGUUUAGCAAAAUGAGAGCAAAGCCAUUUCAAGCUACGAGGUUGUUAGUAAUAAAUUAGAGUGUUUGUGUGUCUUUGCAAAAAAUAACUAAACUUCCCUCCUGUAGCCUACCAUCUCAGUAAGAAUGAGCUGGGAAAAAGUAAAAAAGAAAAGAACCGUUGAAAUCUAGAGGAUGUUUUUAUACUGGCAAGCAUAUGGGAAGACUGGAAAUGUGAUGGGUUUCUGCAUGUUUCCUGGAGGAAGGGGAUUGAGGUAGAUGCAGUGGGUACAAUCUUCAGGCAGAAUUAGGCUGUAGGUGUCAGUGAUACCCUGGCAGUUCAAGGAGAAGUUGUCCCUCAGCAGUUUAGAUGCAUCCUGUGUGAGAAGUGGACGUGUACGGUGUGGGACACCCAGCACUCUCAGCUUUCACCGCCAGAUGAGUGAGGUGACUAUUUCGGUGUGUACAUCUGUGCUGGGUUCAGACAGGGCUCCACAAAUGCCCCCACGACUCUGAUGUGGAGAGCCAAUAGGGAAGGGCUGUGGCUGGUCCUGGGCGUGACAGAAGCUGCUUAAUUUAGCACCAUGAGAACAUCCCUGUGUGAGAGGGAUAAAUAUAGCUCCCAGUCUGAGAGGCAUCGGGUUCGGAGCACAAAGAAGAUGGAGGCAAUAGAGACAAAUUCUGUGGCUAGUGUGGAAAUAUUCUCUGCUGUCAUUCCAUUAACCUCAGGCACCAAGUCUACUUUCAGGGGGCACUGAGGGACUGUCACUCAGCAGUGUGUGCUUCUGCCAGGCAGCCCCGGAGAGGGGAGUGCUGCUGGGGGGACGUCCCUGCUCAGCUGCGUGCCCCCACACACUCUGUGCCUGGGAGGUGCUUCCACUGGCUGCAAAGAGCAGAACUGAGGGGUUUUGCUUUUUUCUUACAUUGACACCUCUGUGUUCUGACCGAGCACUGCAGAUUUCUAUUAUCCUCCCUUUUUGUACAUUACUGACAAUAAAUUAUUUCCUCCAGAGUUCUUUAUUUGUGGGAGGGCAGAUCCUGGGGUCUGCUUUUGCUUCUUUUGAGUGACCUGUUGACUUCUGUGGCUUGGAGUUAGGUCUCUGAUGGAGUAUUUGUUGCUAAACUUCCUACCAAGAUGCUGAGAGGCAGACAAAUCUUUGUCAGCUGUGUGACAGGACACCCUGAUAUUGCUGCUUUGCUGCUCACCUGUGCCAGGUCUCUGGUCUUGGAGAGUCCCUACACCUGGGCUGCUCUUAGAGUGACCUGUGCCUCUGUGGUGCUGUGAUGUUUUGCAUCUGCAUCAGGUCCUGCUCAUACCAGUUUCUGAGGUAUAGAGCUUGGGAGCCUGUGCGGGCAGCAAGCGAGAUGCUGCUCUCCAUUACACCCAAAAAAGUCCCUCAAAGUUUUAAGAAGAAAAAAAAAACUGCACAGAAGAGGAGGAAAAAAAUAUAAUGUGAUGUGACCAGAAAUGCUGAUGCUGACCAGAGGCAGGCAGCUCAAGUCUUUGUCCUACCCCCACCACAAGGUGAGGUUCAGCUGGCUUUAUACUGCUGCCUGCUUUGAAGGAGUCAUCCAUGCCUGGUGCCCAUGGCAAGGAAUGAGGGCAACUUGCUGCAUUCUGUGGUGUGAAUCACACAGGCAGCUCAGAGCUCAGAGAAACUUCUUGCUAUUGCUGCCAGGAUUAUUCCCUGGGCAACUGAUGGAUGAGAUCCUCCAUUUGUGAUUUCUUCCUCUGUUAUCUUGGAAACUUUGUAGGUUCCUAUAUUGUCCUACUGCUAAAAGGAGCCUGCUCCAUAACCUAGAUCUUGUUGCAGCAUAAAUAAUAUAGAUGUGGCAAUUUACAAAUUAAAGCUUAUAGAGUUAUAGUUUACAGAUUAAUGAUUGCAGAACAAAGAUUUGUUUGUUUUUU